AACGAACGCUGGCGGCAUGCCUAACACAUGCAAGUCGAACGAGACCUUCGGGUCUAGUGGCGCACGGGGGCGUAACGCGUGGGAACCUGCCCUUAGGUUCGGAAUAACUCUCCGAAAGGGGUGCUAAUACCGGAUAAUGUCUUCGGCCCAAAGAUUUAUCGCCUUUGGAUGGGCCCGCGUUGGAUUAGCUAGUUGGUAGGGUAAAAGCCUACCAAGGCGACGAUCCAUAGCUGGUCUGAGAGGAUGAUCAGCCACACUGGGACUGAGACACGGCCCAGACUCCUACGGGAGGGAGCAGUGGGGAAUAUUGGACAAUGGGCGAAAGCCUGAUCCAGCAAUGCCGCGUGAGUGAUGAAGGCCUUAGGGUUGUAAAGCUCUUUUAACCGGGAUGAUAAUGACAGUACCGGGAGAAUAAGCCCCGGCUAACUCCGUG
rnacentral:rRNA from 1 species